AUCACCUCUUCUGGUGUUUUGUGAGUGAGCCCAGGAUAAGGAGAAGAGUGGAAGAGGUGACUUGUCCUGAAGAAAUGCUGUGAAUUACAUGAGAAAAGCAACAGGUGGAAGUGAACAUCUACCAGGAUUCAGCUCAUCCCACCAAAAGAGGGCCCCAUCUUACUCCACUAUCAUGGAAGAUCUCUUAAAAUUGACUGUCUAAAUUGCAAGAUUAACAAGAUUACAGGAGUGCAAUUACGUAACUAACUACCUAACUCUAAAAGAAGGAUGACUGUCCUUCUAAAUUAUUUGUUUCUUGAAGUUAUUAAGUCAUAAGGAUCAAUAGGAGAACAUGCCCAGGUCACGCACGAUGCCAGACAAGAUCAUCGUAAUUCUUUCUUGCCUGCAAAAGAAAUCUUCCUUUACCUAUUUUCACUACAAUUAACAAUUUCAGCUUUGUGUACUGGUGUUUUGAAAUGCCAGAAGUGUCCCAACGCCUACAAUUCUGUGGAUCUGUGUGCCUACAAAGAGUCCUCAUGUAGGGAAGCGUAACUGAAGUGCAAAAACCACUGUGGUUACAAACCUCUCACAAAAAGCAGGACAACCAGAAGUACACAACAGCAGUGCCAUAUCGCAGGGGAGGAAGUCUUCACUGUCUUGAAUUUUAGCUCCUUAUGCUGAGUGGCCAGAAUUAGCCACCUUUACACUAUCAACACCAGGCACAGACCACCAGACAUCUUCCUUGUGCCUUGCAGGGGGCAGAGCAUGGACCAUGUCCUGAAAUGCCACUGAGACCAACCAAGACCUUGGGUUUAACCAGUCACCACGGUUCAGCAAACCUCAGUCAAUGACUGACAACCAUACUGAGGUUGUACUGUAAUCAUGCAGCCUUCAGCUUACUUGGCAAACCUGCACGAAAUCUUAUGCCUUUUUUAACUUCCUUUCCCCUAGACCAACCAUGCCUCUUUACUUUUGCAAAGGGACUUGUGGGCAGCAUCUCAUCAUGCAACAGCUGAGCUGUGAUCAUUUUCUAUACACAUUCCAUUAGCCUGCAGCAAAUGAAAGAUAAAUGAGCUAGCUUAGUCCUCUUUCAUGAGCUCACAGCAGAGCAGUUACUGCAGAUGAGGCUGUGCAUAGUACCUCCUGAUGGAAAAAUAAGGCAGCUCGGUAACAGAGCUUUGUGUAACUAAAUCCCUUAGCGAAAGAACGCAUCACAUUCUGAGGAUAGUUUGGUGCACUGUGCUAUUUAUGUCACUUAAUCCAGGCAUAGCUUCCUUUUCUCUAUGUGAGGGAGGGGAAAGUUAAAUUAUUAAAACUCCAGAAGUGUGGGCGAUUGACCACACCAGGCGGAUCAUGGCAGAGGCGUCUGCUCUGCAGCAAUUUGAGCUCAGCAUCUUUCAAGAUCACAGAGGCAAAACCAUUUUUUUCAGGCUUCUCUGUCACGUUGUCACCAGCAUUUGUGUAUGCACUUGAUUUCAAUAUCAGCAACUGAGCGUAGAGAGAAUAUUUCCUUGUACUGUCAGGUCUUUCAUGUAUAAGUGGUUUUUUGUUUUAUCUAUCUUCAGCCCGCUCUUCCAAUCUGAAACAGUCUUGCAUUAACUGUCCAAUGCUCAGAUGGCAGAAUGCUGAGUCAGUGGAUCUUAUGCAGCAUCAGCCCAUGUUUAUAUUGAACUCUGAGCCCUGACUAUACUCUGUUCUGCCUGAGAUCAAUAAGGCAGGUGGAAAAUCAUCCUCACAGGGCAGCUGACAAUUCCCCAGAAAUACCAUAAAGAGGAAUGGCACCUGCACGUAGAUUUUCCCUCGCCACUGAGGAGAAAGGACAUGUUAUGUGGGUCAGUACAGCUGAGUGGCACCGUUACACCGAGCUUUAUCACCACAUGGCCUAGGGCUGUGGGCACCCCAGGGCAUGGCCUGGCCUGGACCUCCAGAGAGCCCAGAUGCCACAGAAAGACUGGUUGAUCUG